rnacentral:rRNA from 1 species
AUGGCGCCGGUGAAGGUGUUCGGGCCGGCCAAGUCGAUCAACGUGGCGCGGGUGCUGCUCUGCCUGGAGGAGGUCGGCGCGGAGUACGAGCUCGUCCACAUGGAUCUCUUCCAGGCCAAGGAGCAGAAUAGCCCCGAGCACCUCGCCAGAAACCCGUUUGGGAAGGUCCCGGCCUUACAAGACGGCGAUCUGGUCCUCUUCGAGGCCCGUGCGAUCGCGAAGUACGUGCUCCGCAAGUACAAGACGGAGCAGGCGGACCUGCUGAGGGAGGGCGACCUGGAGGAGGCCGCCAUGGUGGACGUGUGGACGGAGGUGGAGGCGCACCAGUACCACCAGGCCCUGCGGCUCAUCAUGCUCGAGUGCUUCCUCAACCCCACCCUGCGCGGCCUCCCCACGAACCAGGCGGUCGUCGACGAGGCCGUUGAGAAGACGAAGAAGGUUCUUGAGAUCUACGAGGCGCGCCUGUCCGAGCACAGGUACCUCGCCGGAGACUUCUUCAGCUUCGCGGACCUCAACCAUUUCGCGAGCACUUUCUACAUCGUCGACGCGACGCCGUAUGGGUCGCUUCUCGACUCGUACCCUCGCGUGAAGGCCUGGUGGGAGGACCUCAUGUCCCGGCCCUCGUUCAAGAAGAUCAGCGCCAAUAUGACCACCAAGGUUUAG